AUGUUAUUCUCAAACUGUGUACUUCUCCUUCAUAGAACUACAACACUUUCGGAUACUACCUGCUUGGCUUUGCUGUUCUCCAGAUUUUCCACCCUGUGCCUAAGAAGCCAAGAAGGAAAAUGCUUUAGUGGGAGGGUAACUCUCCCGUUUGCAGUCACAGGCUGGCCUGACUUCCCACUCAGCCGGUUUUUUGGAGUCUUGAAAGCCAGCAAGAACUCUUUCUUUGCAGAAGUACCUGCCAGGGUCCCAAGUUUCUUGAGUUGCGGAACACCUUCGCUCUGCCAUUUACUACUUGGAGGUCGUUAAAUGUCCUGUGGUCACCGUCCUCUCCGCUCACCACUGUCCAGUCCUCGUCGCCCUCCCGGAACAUGGGAGGCUCGGCGCUCCUGUGCUUGGGCGGGGUCGUGGGACUAGUUGCUGGCACAUGGAAUGACAGAGGAAGCACACUUCCAGGCGGUGAGAAAGGCAUGCCUGCGUCUCUAGGCUCCCUCUUGCCCCGCCAUGCUGUGGAGGAGGCCCGGUGGCGACAUGCUGUGCCAGAAACUUGUGCUGACGCGGGAUGCGAAAAGGUCAAAGCAGCCGGGGUCCCCGAGUCACUGCACGGAAGGCUGCUGGUGAGUGGGAAAUAUUCUGUAACCGCAUAAAACCGCUGACAUUCUUGACACUGUUACCACAGCACAGCCUAGCCUAUCCUAGCUAACACACAAACUGAGUCUGAGUUUCCCCUCCUCUGGGAGAAAGACGCCUCGUUCACAUGGUUGUGGGGCAGAUGUGACGAGAGGACGUACGGCAGGUUCUGAGCCCAAUGUGGUUCACGGAAAGAGCUCACUAAACGUUCGCUUCUUGCCCUCCCCUAACAAGAUGGUCAUUCUUGGCAAAGGCAGACAAGGCCACCGGACCAGACCUUCCCGUGGAUCUCUGGGGCAUAACAGUGAGGUCAAUAGCUCCCUAUGGAAGUAGGCAGCAAGUAUUAUGAGUUCUGUCUCUCCACACUCCUCGGCUCCUUCCGUGUAGAUCCUGGGGCAGUAAUUUGGGGUUGUUGAGAGAUGUGGUACUGACGGCUUCUGGCAUCCACCUUCCAUUUGCCACAAGCUGUGGCAGCCACACUUUCUCCUCACCACUGCCACCAGCUGCCUCCAUCUUGUGGUGGGGGGUGGGGGUGGGGAGGGUGCCUUGCUCAUUUACCACGAAUUGUCCCCCUUGGUGCCAUGCGACAGGAAAGAAACAUUUGGGAAUAUCGGCAUCUGGUAGGGCCCCUCCCUUAGUCUAUGCCUUGACUCUAAUACAAAAUAAUAAAAGUAAAUAAGUAACGUGAAAACUAACCUCU
ensembl:lncRNA